rnacentral:ncRNA from 2 species
UUCUUAUCUAGAGAAACAGAGGGUCUGGCCCGAUGAAGUUUCAGCAACCAGUAUAUAUCAUUUAUAUAUACAAGGUGCUAAGUCCUGCAGGUUUAAUUCUGAGAGAUGAGGA